rnacentral:rRNA from 1 species
UAGUCCACGCCCUAAACGAUGUGUGCUAGUUGUCGGGAUCUUUAGAUUUCGGUGACGCAGCUAACGCUUUAAGCACACCGCCUGGGGAGUACGGUCGCAAGAUUAAAACUCAAAGGAAUUGACGGGGACCCGCACAAGCGGUGGAGCAUGUUGUUUAAUUCGAAGCAACGCGAAGAACCUUACCCACACUUGACAUCCCUCUUGGGGCUUUCAGAGAUGAUUGCUUUCGGUUCGGCCGGGGAGGAGAC